rnacentral:rRNA from 1 species
CUAGCUUGCUAGGUGGAAGGAGAGGCGAACGGGUGAGUAAUACAUAAGCAACCUGCCCACGAAGACUGGGAUAAUCCUUGGAAACGAGGACUAAUACCGGAUAGGUUACGAAUUCGCAUGAAUUUGUAAUUAAAGGUUAGAAACACUGGUGGAUGGGCUUAUGGUGCAUUAGCUAGUUGGUGAGGUAACGGCCCACCAAGGCGAUGAUGCAUAGCCGGGCUGAGAGGCUGAACGGCCACAUUGGGACUGAGACACGGCCCAGACUCCUACGGGAGGCAGCAGUAGGGAAUUUUCGGCAAUGGGGGAAACCCUGACCGAGCAACGCCGCGUGAGUGAUGAAGGUCUUCGGAUUGUAAAGCUCUGUUGUAAGGGAAGAAUGAAUUGGAUAGAAUCCGAUUGUGACGGUACCUUACCAGAAAGCUACGGCUAACUACGUGCCAGCAGCCGCGGUAAUACGUAGGUAGCGAGCGUUAUCCGGAAUUAUUGGGCGUAAAGGGUGCGUAGGCGGCUUGUUAAGUUUAAGGUGAAAGAAUGGGGCUCAACCCCAUAAAGCCUUAGAUACUGGCAAGCUAGAGUACUGGAGAGGGUAGUGGAAUUCCAUGUGUAGCGGUAAAAUGCGUAGAUAUAUGGAGGAACACCGGUGGCGAAGGCGGCUACCUAGACAGAGACUGACGCUGAGGCACGAAAGCGUGGGGAGCAAAUAGGAUUAGAUACCCUAGUAGUCCACGCCGUAAACGAUGAAUGCUAGAUAUCGGGGUAACUCGGUGUCGAAACUAACGCGAUAAGCAUUCCGCCUGUGGAGUAUGCACGCAAGUGUGAAACAUAAAGGAAUUGACGGGGGCCCGCACAAGCGGUGGAGUAUGUGGUUUAAUUCGACGCAACGCGAAGAACCUUACCAGGCCUUGACAUCCCUUGCAAAACUCUAGAGAUAGAGCAGAGGUUAUCAAGGUGACAGGUGGUGCAUGGUUGUCGUCAGCUCGUGUCGUGAGAUGUUGGGUUAAGUCCCGCAACGAGCGCAACCCUUGUCUUCAGUUACCAUCAUUAAGUUGGGGACUCUGGAGAGACUGCCGGUGAUAAACCGGAGGAAGGUGGGGAUGACGUCAAAUCAUCAUGCCCCUUAUGGCCUGGGCUACACACGUACUACAAUGGCCGGGACAAAGGAUCGCGAUCCCGCGAGGGUGAGCUAACUCCAAAAACCCGUCCUCAGUUCGGAUUGUAGGCUGCAACUCGCCUGCAUGAAGCCGGAAUCGCUAGUAAUCGCCGGUCAGCCAUACGGCGGUGAAUUCGUUCUCGGGCCUUGUACACACAGCCCGUCACACUAUGGGAGCUGGCCAUGCCCGAAG